AGCGAACGCUGGCGGCAGGCCUAACACAUGCAAGUCGAACGAAGUCUUCGGACUUAGCGGCGGACGGGUGAGUAACACGUGGGAACGUGCCUUUAGGUUCGGAAUAACUCAGGGAAACUUGUGCUAAUACCGAAUGUGCCCUUCGGGGGAAAGAUUUAUCGCCUUUAGAGCAGCCCGCGUCUGAUUAGCUAGUUGGUGAGGUAAAGGCUCACUAAGGCGACGAUCAGUAGCUGGUCUGAGAGGAUGAUCAGCCACAUUGGGACUGAGACACGGCCCAAACUCCUACGGGAGGCAGCAGUGGGGAAUCUUGCGCAAUGGGCGAAAGCCUGACGAAGCCAUGCCGCGUGAAUGAUGAAGGUCUUAGGAUUGUAAAAUUCUUUCACCGGGGACGAUAAUGACGGUACCCGGAGAAGAAGCCCCGGCUAACUUCGUGCCAGCAGCCGCAGUAAUAC
rnacentral:rRNA from 1 species